rnacentral:rRNA from 1 species
AGAAUCAACGCUGGCGGCGUGCCUAACACAUGCAAGUCGAACGAGAAAGUGGAGCAAUCCAUGAGUAAAGUGGCGACCGGGUGAGUAACACGUGACUAACCUACCUUCGAGUGGGGGAUAACAUCGGGAAACCGAUGCUAAUACCGCAUAACAUCGCAAGAUCAAAGCAGCAAUGCGCUGGAAGAGGGGGUCGCGGCUGAUUAGCUAGUUGGCGGGGUAACGGCCCACCAAGGCGAAGAUCGGUAGCCGGCCUGAGAGGGCGCACGGCCACACUGGAACUGAAACACGGUCCAGACUCCUACGGGAGGCAGCAGUGGGGAAUUUUGCGCAAUGGGGGAAACCCUGACGCAGCAACGCCGCGUGGAGGAUGAAGCCCCUUGGGUGUAAACUCCUUUCGACCAAGACGAUAAUGACGGUACUGGUGGAAGAAGCACCGGCUAACUCUGUGCCAGCAGCCGC